rnacentral:misc_RNA from 1 species
GAUGAAGAACGCAGCGAAAUGCGAUAAGUAAUGCGAAUUGCAGAAUUUCCGUGAAUCAUCGAGUCUUUGAACGCACAUUGCGCCCCCUGGCAUUCCGGGGGGCAUGCCUGUCCGAGCGUCAUUGCUGCCCUCAAGCACGGCUUGUGUGUUGGGUCGCCGUCCCCCUCCGGGGGGACGGGCCCGAAAGGCAGCGGCGGCACCGGGUCCGGUCCUCGAGCGUAUGGGGCUUCGUCACCCGCUCUGUAGGGCCGGCCGGCUGUCUGCCGACAACCUAUUUAAUUUUCUUCAGGUUGACCUCGGAUCAGGUAGGGAUACCCGCUGAACUUAAGCAUAUCAAUAAGCGGAGGA